UCAGGAUGGCUUCACUUGUACUGCUGCUGCUUCUGCUGGUCCUGGUUCCAUCUGCACAUUUGUACCGUUUCGCAAUGUACUACGGAGGUUCGGUGACCUUCUCUCCAAAGCAAGGGACAAAUGGGAAAUUAGAGGCAAAUUUCUAUUUGAGACAAACCGUGUUUCGGAAUUUUAAUGAUAAUCCUAUAUGCAAAACUGGUAACUGUGGGACCCAGACUAAGAGAUCCCUUGCAAUAUCUGCAACAACAUCUGAUAAUAUCACCUGGACGCAGUAUGCAGAAGCAACUACAAGACGGUUCAACACUGACCUUCCAUUUGAGAUGAGUCUCCCUAACUUUGUCCACUGGUGGCAUGGAGCUGGUUACUGGGAGGAAAACAUAUAUGGCAGCUGGUUAAGAUGGGUGAAUUUGAUACAUGUGGACCUGGGAAACCGAUCCGAUACCAGUAAUCCGAACAAUUCUCCUGUUUUCACCACACCUCCCGU